CAGUAGCCGCGGUAAUACGUAGGGUGCGAGCGUUGUUCGGAAUUAUUGGGCGUAAAGGGUGCGUAGGCGGUUUGGCAAGUUUGGUGUGAAAUCUUCGGGCUCAACUCGAAGUCUGCAUCGAAAACUGCCGGGCUUGAGUAUGGGAGAGGUGAGUGGAAUUUCCGGUGUAGCGGUGAAAUGCGUAGAUAUCGGAAGGAACACCUGUGGCGAAAGCGGCUCACUGGACCAUAACUGACGCUGAUGCACGAAAGCUAGGGGAGCAAACAGGAUUAGAUACCCCCGUAGUCCCUGUCUCUUAUAC
rnacentral:rRNA from 1 species